UACGUAGGGGGCGAGCGUUAUUCGGAAUUACUGGGCGUAAAGCGUGCGCAGGCGGUUUUGUAAGCCAGAUGUGAAAUCCCCGGGCUUAACCUGGGAAUGGCAUUUGGGACUGCAAGGCUGGAGUGCGGAAGAGGAGACUGGAAUUCCUGGUGUAGCAGUGAAAUGCGUAGAUAUCAGGAGGAACACCGAUGGCGAAGGCAGGUCUCUGGGCCACUACUGACGCUGAGAAGCGAAAGCAUGGGGAGCGAACAGG
rnacentral:rRNA from 1 species